AUGAUGACAAAUUUGAUGCAAAAAGAUGAAGAUAUAAUGGAGAUUUCAUACUUACCUGUUGGAGAACAUUCAACACGUCUCAUCUCUAAUCGAAACAAACGCCGCCGCUCAAAUCUUCUUAGCCACUUCACUCAUUUUAUUCCUCCGCGGUUCUUCUUGUUCAUUUUGUCCCUCCACUUCAGUCGCGAUUUCGUCUCAAAUUUGUUUCCGGUUCACAAACUCUUCCUCAGUUUCUAA